rnacentral:rRNA from 1 species
AUUGAACGCUGGCGGCAGGCCUAACACAUGCAAGUCGAGCGGAUGAAGGGAGCUUGCUCCUGGAUUCAGCUGCCGACGGGUGAGUAAUGCCUAGGAAUCUGCCUGGUAGUGGGGGAUAACGUCCGGUAACGGGCGCUAAUACCGCAUACGUCCUGAGGUAGAAAGUGGGGGAUCUUCGGACCUCACGCUAUCAGAUGAGCCUAGGCCGGAUUAGCUAGUUGGUGGGGUAAAGGCCUACCAAGGCGACGAUCCGUAACUGGUCUGAGAGGAUGAUCAGUCACACUGGAACUGAGACACGGUCCAGACUCCUACGGGAGGCAGCAGUGGGGAAUAUUGGACAAUGGGCGAAAGCCUGAUCCAGCCAUGCCGCGUGUGUGAAGAAGGUCUUCGGAUUGUAAAGCACUUUAAGUUGGGAGGAAGGGCAGUAAGUUAAUACCUUGCUGUUUUGACGGUACCAACAGAGUAAGCAACGGCUAACUUCGUG